CGCACGCGUACUUGAUGAUAUGACGGGCACUGGAAGCGCUGUUGUCGCCUCGUUUUGCGAAACAUCACUCGGCUUCGCUUUCAGCACCGGCCCCGUUUGUUUACUGCCUUCCUAUCUUGAUUCGUGCCGUUCGCUUUUGGCGACCCCGAAGGUUUUCCAUGGUUUUCCUGUGACCGGUCGCCGUUGUUGCCGCCGGCCGGGGAAAGAGCCAUGGUGCCUGGCGUCUGUCACCUGUCCGGCUCUAAAGAGGAUAUAUCCCCCACCAAACAACCUUCGUGCGAACCCUGGCCCACACCACCGUCAUAAGACAAGACGACUUGGGUCCUGCAGUGGCUGUGGUGUUUCACGCAUGGAGCGGACUUACUCAAAAUGGCGUCUGAGUCUUCGCUGAUGGAAAUCCUGUGUUGCCGACGGGUGUUGGCCAAUACUGCAGCCUGCAGCGCGCACGCAGUCGUGGCGAACGGUGUCGCUGCGUGAAAGCUCCUGCAGCCUGUCAUCACGCGCUCCGUCUGCAUGCGCCCCUGUCCCAACGCUCUGGUCUCGGGACAGCUCCGUUCAUUUUCAAUUCCGAGGACGGCGCCGCACAAACGAAGCAAAUGCGAAAGCAGGACAGAAAAAGAAACAGUGCAGUCGCACUCACCUCCCGCAGACUGCUAGCGUUCUUGAUACAUGAUUCGAAAGUUCCGUUUUCGCUUAGCGGUUAUGAUUUCUACAAGCUUUAUCGCGCCAUUAGUCACGUCAGGCACCGUAGCUCUUGCCUUCUUUCUUUAACGGGUGCUAACGCGUCUUUGCGUGCUCCUGAUUCCGAAUAAUGUUAAACUCGAUCGGAGUAUGAUUUAAUUGAUGUUACAAUGUGCAUUUUAUUCCUUCGUUUGUGUUUCACUCAACGAUCAGCUCGCGGAAGACAUUCUCAGCGAACCUGCCGUUUUAUUUCGCCACAUAGUUUGCCUUAUCAUUAACACAGAUGUGGCAUGCCGCGUUUCCUUUUUCUUUUCUUCUUUUAUUUUUGCAGGCAACGACAGCAACCCUGAAAUUUGCGAUGACGUUUGUCUCCCUUUCCAUACAUACCUCUCCCUGCUAUCAACAGAAGCAUUUUCUCUCUAUCUCCCUCUCUUUCGAAGAAGCGCAAUAACAUAAUCGUACAAUAGAAGAAGAUUGAUUACGAUUUCUAUUCCAAUUUUUCUUUCUUCUUCUGUUUUCUUUUUUUUUUUUAAUUUUCAACCAUCUAGUCCGUUUUGGUCAUAGCUCCAGCAAUUACUGAAGGUCAAUAACUGCGGCCUUUACGUCCCAGGUCCUGGGUGAUCCAGCAGAAUGAUGAGCACAUGUUAUUGCAAUAACGAGACUUUACAACAACAACAACAACAACAACAACAACAACAACAACAACAACAACAACAGCAAUCGCGUUACGUCUCAUCUAGCCAACUCAAUACAACACAGUAUCCCCGCAUUCGUUUUUGUCGCCGCAUCCCUG